GAUGAACGCUAGCGGCAGGCCUAAUACAUGCAAGUCGAGGGGUAUGGGUUGCUUGCAACCCAGAGACCGGCGCACGGGUGCGUAACGCGUAUGCAAUCUACCUUAAUCAGGGGGAUAGCCCGGAGAAAUCCGGAUUAACACCGCAUAACAUUGAGUUGUGGCAUCACAGUUCAAUCAAAUAUUUAUAGGAUUAAGAUGAGCAUGCGUGACAUUAGUUAGUUGGUGAGGUAACGGCUCACCAAGACCACGAUGUCUAGGGGAUCUGAGAGGAUGACCCCCCACACUGGUACUGAGAUACGGACCAGACGCCUACGGGAGGCAGCAGUAAGGAAUAUUGGUCAAUGGGCGCAAGCCUGAACCAGCCAUGCCGCGUGCAGGAAGACGGCCCUAUGGGUUGUAAACUGCUUUUGUACCGGAAUAAACCUUCUCUUGCGAGAGAAGCUGAACGUACGGUAAGAAUAAGGAUCGGCUAACUCCGUG
rnacentral:rRNA from 1 species